AGCCGCGGUAAGACGUAGGGCGCGAGCGUUGUCCGGAUUUAUUGGGCGUAAAGAGCUCGUAGGCGGCUUGUCGCGUCGACCGUGAAAACCUGUGGCUUAACCAUAGGCUUGCGGUCGAUACGGGCAGGCUAGAGUGCGGCAGGGGAGACUGGAAUUCCUGGUGUAGCGGUGAAAUGCGCAGAUAUCAGGAGGAACACCGGUGGCGAAGGCGGGUCUCUGGGCCGCUACUGACGCUGAGGAGCGAAAGCGUGGGGAGCGAACAGGAUUAGAUACCCUGGUAGUCCACGCUGUAAACGUUGGGCGCUAGGUGUGGGGAGCCUCUCCGGUUCUCCGUGCCGUAGCUAACGCAUUAAGCGCCCCGCCUGGGGAGUACGGUCGCAAGGCUAAAACUCAAAGGAAUUGACGGGGGCCCGCACAAGCGGCGGAGCAUGCGGAUUAAUUCGAUGCAACGCGAAGAACCUUACCUGGGCUUGACAUGGACGGAAAACCGGCAGAGAUGUCGGGUCCUUCGGGGCCGUCCACAGGUGGUGCAUGGCC
rnacentral:rRNA from 1 species